rnacentral:rRNA from 1 species
CCUACGGGAGGCAGCAGUGAGGAAUAUUGGUCAAUGGUCGCGAGCCUGAACCAGCCAAGUCGCGUGAAGGAUGACUGCCCUACGUGUUGUAAACUUCUUUUAUAAAGGAAUAAAGUGAGGCACGUGUGCCUUUUUGUGUGUACCUUAUGAAUAAGGAUCGGCUAACUCCGUGCCAGCAGCCGCGGUAAUACGGAGGAUCCGAGCGUUAUCCGGAUUUAUUGGGUUUAAAGGGAGCGUAGAUGGGUUGUUAAGUCAGUUGUUAAAGUUUGCGGAGCAACCGUAAAAUUGCAAUUGAUACUGGCAGCCUUGAGUACAGUUGAGGUAGGCGGAAUGCGUGGUGUAGCGGUGAAAUGCUUAGAUAUCACGAAGAACUCCGAUUGCGAAGGCAGCUUACUAGACUGCCACUGACAUUGAUGCUCGAAAGUGUGGGUAUCAAACAGGAUUAGAUACCCUAGUAGUC